rnacentral:rRNA from 1 species
UAUGGAGGGGGCUAGCGUUGUCCGAAGUUACUGGGCGUAAAGCGCGCGUAGGCGGGUUGGUAAGUCCGCUGUGAAAGCCCGGAGCUUAACUCCGGAGGGUCGGUGGAUACUGCCAGUCUUGAAGGUGCUAGGGGGAGAUGGAAUUACCGGUGUAGCGGUGAAAUGCGUAGAUAUCGGUAGGAACACCAGUGGCGAAGGCGGUCUCCUGGGGCAUUCUUGACGCUGAGGCGCGAAAGCUGGGGGAGCAAACGGG